CCUACGGGUGGCAGCAGUGGGGAAUAUUGGACAAUGGGCGAAAGCCUGAUCCAGCCAUGCCGCGUGUGUGAAGAAGGCCUUCGGGUUGUAAAGCACUUUCAGUGGGGAAGAAAGCCUUGGGGCUAAUACCCUCGAGGAAGGACAUCACCCACAGAAGAAGCACCGGCUAACUCCGUGCCAGCAGCCGCGGUAAUACGGAGGGUGCGAGCGUUAAUCGGAAUUACUGGGCGUAAAGCGCGCGUAGGCGGUCUGAUAAGCCGGUUGUGAAAGCCCCGGGCUCAACCUGGGAACGGCAUCCGGAACUGUCAGGCUAGAGUGCAGGAGAGGAAGGUAGAAUUCCCGGUGUAGCGGUGAAAUGCGUAGAGAUCGGGAGGAAUACCAGUGGCGAAGGCGGCCUUCUGGACUGACACUGACGCUGAGGUGCGAAAGCGUGGGUAGCAAACAGGAUUAGAUACCCCAGUAUC
rnacentral:rRNA from 1 species